rnacentral:piRNA from 1 species
UUGAUACUUGGGUUCAGGUCCUCACGCUU